UGGGGAAUUUUGGACAAUGGGCGAAAGCCUGAUCCAGCAAUGCCGCGUGUGUGAAGAAGGCCUUCGGGUUGUAAAGCACUUUUGUCCGGAAAGAAAUCCUUGGCUCUAAUACAGUCGGGGGAUGACGGUACCGGAAGAAUAAGCACCGGCUAACUACGUGCCAGCAGCCGCGGUAAUACGUAGGGUGCAAGCGUUAAUCGGAAUUACUGGGCGUAAAGCGUGCGCAGGCGGUUUGCUAAGACCGAUGUGAAAUCCCCGGGCUCAACCCGGGAACUGCAUUGGUGACUGGCAGGCUAGAGUAUGGCAGAGGGGGGUAGAAUUCCACGUGUAGCAGUGAAAUGCGUAGAGAUGUGGAGGAAUACCGAUGGCGAAGGCAGCCCCCUGGGCAAGUACUGACGCUCAUGCACGAAAGCGUGGGGAGCAAACAGGAUUAGAUACCCUGGUAGUCCACGCCCUAAANGAUGUCAACUAGUUGUUGGGGAUUCAUUUUCCUUAGUAACGUAGCUAACGCGUGAAGUUGA
rnacentral:rRNA from 1 species